UACGUAGGGUGCAAGCGUUAAUCGGAAUUACUGGGCGUAAAGCGUGCGCAGGCGGUUUUGUAAGUCAGAUGUGAAAUCCCCGGGCUUAACCUGGGAACUGCGUUUGAAACUACAAGGCUAGAGUGUGGCAGGGAGGGGGGUAGGCAAUUCCACGUGUAGCAGUGAAAUGCGUAGAGAUGUGGAGGAACACCGAUGGCGAAGGCAGCCCCCUGGGUUAACACUGACGCUCAGGCACGAAAGCGUGGGGAGCAAACAGG
rnacentral:rRNA from 1 species